rnacentral:rRNA from 1 species
UGCGUAGACGGUUAUGUAAGUCGGGUGUGAAAGCCCCGGGCUCAACCUGGGAAUUGCAUUCGAAACUGCAUAGCUAGGGUGCGGAAGAGGGAAGCGGAACUUCCGGUGUAGCGGUGAAAUGCGUAGAUAUCGGAAAGAACACCAGUGGCGAAAGCGGCUUCCUGGUCCAGCACCGACGUUCAGGCACGAAAGCGUGGGGAGCAAACAGGAUUAGAUACCCUGGUAGUCCACGCCAUAAACGAUGAGAACUAGACGUUGAGAGGGUAAGCCUCACAGUGUCGUAGCUAACGCGCUAAGUUCUCCGCCUGGGGAGGUACGGCCGCAAGGUUGAA